ACACUUCCUAAAUCCCCAUUCUCUGUUCAUCUCCCUCUCAAUCUGGAUCUCCUGCCCCAAUCACUCCAUGGCGGCGGCUUAGGUGAAUCCUUCCACGGCAGCUGCACUUGGCCCGUCCGCCUCGAACGGCUCCAAGGUCCUGCUGAUCGCUUCGACAGUGUUCGCGCUUCACCAGCAUCUGCGUCUGUCCGCCUCAAAUCGCUCCACGGCCUUGGUGAUCCUUACGACGGCCGCGGCCAGAUCCGCCAUGUCUAGCCUACCUCCGUGCCCGUCCGCCUUCUUGUCGGUUCCCAACGCCAAGUUGGCCACCGGCCACAACCUGCGCACCAUCCAGUCCACUGCGCCCACAUGCAGCAGUUGCUCCUCUGCCUGACGAUGUUGUCUGCCUGCAGCAAGAGGCUCGACAGACGCAGAGCCCGGCAACACUCCAUAGCAAACAAGGACCACGUUUCCAGAUUUUCUUGUUCAUGUAUAUGUAUCUAGUACUUAGCUAUGUGCAGAUUGUAGCUUGCGAGCUCAUCCAUUGAUUUUUUCUUUGUUAAAUGUGCAUGUAGCUUCAGACAUCAGAAUGUAAAUUGUACAUUGCCGUUGAGUAUUGUUUUUCAGAGACAUGUGAAUUUAGCUUGUUCCUGCUGAUUUGAGGUCUUCUGCAAUACAUGAUGUAAUACAGCUCAUCGAGGGCAACAAUAUCAGCUGGUGCUUGGAUAUUCCUGGUGAUUCUGCAUUCCUAUGUUUCUUUGACAUAUUCAGUUAUUCACAAACAAGAACAUGUUGCUGCUACAAGCUUACAAACAAACCACUGUUUAUUUUGAGUUCGUGAAUAAUAUUGUUGAGGCUGAUGUGGGUUUGCAAGCUGAGUUGUUCCCUGGACGCU
rnacentral:rRNA from 1 species